rnacentral:rRNA from 1 species
GACGAACGCUGGCGGCGUGCUUAACACAUGCAAGUCGAGCGGUAAGGCCUCUUCGGGGGUACACGAGCGGCGAACGGGUGAGUAACACGUGGGUGACCUGCCCUCAGCUCAGGGAUAAGCCUGGGAAACUGGGUCUAAUACCGGCUAUGACCUUUCCUCGCAUGGGGUUUGGAGGAAAGUUUUUUCGGCUGGGGAUGGGCCCGCGGCCUCUCAGCUGGUUGGUGGGGUGAUGGCCUACCAAGGCGGCGACGGGUAGCCGGCCUGAGAGGGCGACCGGCCACACUGGGACUGGGACACGGCACGGACUCCUCCGGGAGGGAGCAGUGGGGAAUAUUGCGAAACGGGCGGAAGCCUGACGCAGCGACGCUGCGUGGGGGAUGACGGCCUUGGGGUUGUAAACCUCUUUCGACCCCGACGAAUUUGGACGGUAGGGGUAGAAGAAGCACCGGCCAACUACGUG